rnacentral:rRNA from 1 species
CGGACGGGUGAGUAAUGUCUGGGAAACUGCCUGAUGAGGGGGAUAACUACUGGAAACGGUAGCUAAUACCGCAUAACGUCGCAAGACCAAAGAGGGGGACCUUCGGGCCUCUUGCCAUCAGAUGUGCCCAGAUGGGAUUAGCUAGUAGGUGGGGUAACGGCUCACCUAGGCGACGAUCCCUAGCUGGUCUGAGAGGAUGACCAGCCACACUGGAACUGAGACACGGUCCAGACUCCUACGGGAGGCAGCAUG